rnacentral:misc_RNA from 1 species
GAUGAAGAACGCAGCGAAAUGCGAUAAGUAAUGUGAAUUGCAGAAUUCAGUGAAUCAUCGAAUCUUUGAACGCACAUUGCGCCCGCCAGUAUUCUGGCGGGCAUGCCUGUUCGAGCGUCAUUUCAACCAUCAAGCCCCCGGCUUGUGUUGGGGACCUGCGGCUGCCGCAGGCCCUGAAAUGCAGUGGCGGGCUCGCUGUCACUCCGAGCGUAGUAGUUACAUCUCGCUCUGGGCGUGCUGCGGGUUCCGGCCGUUAAAAGCCUUAUUUACCCAAGGUUGACCUCGGAUCAGGUAGGAAGACCCGCUGAACUUAAGCAUAUCAAUAAGCGGCGGA